rnacentral:rRNA from 1 species
GUAGUCUGCAACUCGACUACAUGAAGCUGGAAUCGCUAGUAAUCGCGGAUCAGAAUGCCGCGGUGAAUACGUUCCCGGGUCUUGUACACACCGCCCGUCACACCAUGGGAGUCAGUAACGCCCGAAGCCGGUGACCCAACCUAUUCUGGAGGGAGCCGUCGAAGGCGGGACGGAUGACUGGGGCGAAGUCGUAACAAGGUACC